GGCAAAGGGCUCGGUGCUUGAGCACAGAGCUCGUGAUCCGGAGAAGCAGAGAGGCCAGACUGAGCACAACUGGCAGAUUGAGAGCGAGUGCCAAGAAGUGAAACGAGGAAGUUUGGGGCCAAAAAGUCAUCCCAGAGCACCAACAGGGACUUCCCUGGU